rnacentral:lncRNA from 1 species
UAGUAACGUUAUUCAGAAUUCAUGUCAGUUUAUAUAGACGUGUCCAAUUAUAAAUCCAGUUAUCACCAUAACUUGCGUAAUUCAAAGUCAGAAAAUAUCCAGUUACAUUUAGCAUCGUGUAAUAUGUUGAACUAGACUUGUAGUAUAGAAUGAAAUCUUGAUUAUAGCUUCGAAUUAUAUCAUCAACAUAAAGCUGUAAUGUUUGUAAAAUGUUCCGUCUUGAUCUUGUAAAAUAUUCAUAUGUAUCAUGACCAGGGGAAUUAAUUUGUAAUCCAUUGACAUCGCGACCUUUCAAGUGACACAUUCAAGCAAAUGCCAAAUGCUUAUACCAGAUGUGUUGCGCUCAAGACAGACUAAAUAUGUUUACUGCUACACUUUUUCGUUUAGUAUUUUUAUUCAAUUUAACUUUUAACUGAUGAUUACAAUUCCAAAUGCUUAGAUCUACUUAAAAUUUACCGCUUGGCUUUACUUAUAUUUUGCUUAAUCUUUAUACUUUUACUUAUUUGCUUAUAAUCCUCUACUUUAAAAUAACUUUAAUAACAUACACAAUUUUAAUUCAUAUUUACCGUAUAUUUACCGCUUUAUUUAAUUCAGAUCAAUUAAGGUAUCUGGUUUCACGCUUAACACUAUGACGCAUGCAGAAUGUAUUCCUCAAAUUCCGCUUAAUAUCUUAUCAAUGAAAUGACUUUCCAAUUUUUAUUUGUUUUAACUUGAAAUGCUAAUUUUCUUUUGGAGCAUGCAACUGUUUAGACUGGUUUUACUCUUUCCCGCCUGAG